ensembl:lncRNA
AUGUUGCUGACUAGCAUGUUCUGCUCUGCGCAAGGACCAUUCAUUCAGGACAAGCUCCAAUCAUACUGUCCUACUUAUAUAAAACAUCAGAUGUAUUUUGGACCUUCCUACAAUGCCUGUCGGUGAAUAUGAGCACUGAGACCCAAAAUAGCACGUUAUUUUCACCAGUGAAGAGAUAAGUUGAAAGACAAGAGAAACCCCAUACGCUGUUCUGUCUCGUAAUCACCUGUUUUAUUAAAGCUUCAAAUGAGCUCAGACCAGAGUCAGACUUCUGAACAUCUUACACGUCUUCGGUGAUAAUAAACAUUAACGGGGCAAUCUGGGGUAUAAAGUGGCGCCGGGAAGAAAUGGCAGCAGUUUUACGGGCGCCCAACCAAUUGUGCUCCAAGCCAUAAGACUCAUGAACAGGUAACCAAAUGGCUACCCGGACUAUUUGCAUUGUGAGCCCCCCCUCCACAAACCCUCUGUUUAUCAUAUAUGCAUUGUCACUUUAACCAUAUCUACAUGUACAUACUACCUCAAUCAGCCUGACUAACCGGUGUCUGUAUGUAGCCUCGCUACUUUUAUAGCCUCGCUACUAUAUAUAGCCUGUCGUUUUACUGUUGUUUUUAUUUCCUUACUUACCUAUUGUUCACCUAAUACCUUUUUUGCACUAUUGGUUAGAGCCUGUAAGUAAACACAAGGUCUACCUGUUGUAUUCAGCAUUUCUCUGUAAGGUCUACUACACCUGUUGUAUUCAGCAUUUCACUGUAAGGUCUACUACACCUGUUGUAUUCAGCAUUUCACUGUAAGGUCUACUACACCUGUUGUAUUCAGCAUUUCACUGUAAGGUCUACUACACCUGUUGUAUUCAGCAUUUCUCUGUAAGGUCUACUACACCUGUUGUAUUCAGCAUUCCACUGUAAGGUCUACUACACCUGUUGUAUUCAGCAUUUCACUUUAAGGUCUACUACACCUGUUGUAUUCAGCAUUUCACUGUAAGGUCUACUACACCUGUUGUAUUCAGCAUUUCUCUGUAAGGUCUACUACACCUGUUGUAUUCAGCAUUUCUCUGUAAGGUCUACUACACCUGUUGUAUUCAGCAUUUCACUUUAAGGUCUACUACACCUGUUGUAUUCAGCAUUUCACUGUAAGGUCUACUACACCUGUUGUAUUCAGCAUUUCACUGUAAGGUCUACUACACCUGUUGUAUUCAGCAUUCCACUGUAAGGUCUACUACACCUGUUGUAUUCAGCAUUUCACUUUAAGGUCUACUACACCUGUUGUAUUCAGCAUUUCACUGUAAGGUCUACUACACCUGUUGUAUUCAGCAUUUCACUGUAAGGUCUACUACACCUGUUGUAUUCAGCAUUUCUCUGUAAGGUCUACUACACCUGUUGUAUUCAGCAUUUCACUGUAAGGUCUACUACACCUGUUGUAUUCAGCAUUUCACUGUAAGGUCUACUACACCUGUUGUAUUCAGCAUUCCACUGUAAGGUCUACUACACCUGUUGUAUUCAGCAUUUCACUGUAAGGUCUACUACACCUGUUGUAUUCAGCAUUUCACUGUAAGGUCUACUACACCUGUUGUAUUCAGCAUUUCACUGUGAGGUCUACUACACCUGCUGUAUUCAGCACACGCGACAAAUAAACUUUGAUUUGAUUUGCAGGUGCUACAUCCAUUCUUGGAAUCAUAAAUAAAGGGAUAUUUACUCAUUGAUUCUUGAAGAAUAUAACUUAGAAAUGCCUCAUGAGCUCAGCUCAAUAGUCGUACCCCAUCAGAACCCAGAAUAUAAGCUUGUUUUACUCCAAUGUUUUUCAGCAAUGUAAAUGUAAACAA